AGUGUAUGUUCUUGCCAAUUUUCUAGGCGCAGAACUCAGGCCUGCUUUUAGGCCUAGCGGGGGACAGUUGCAAAGAACAGAACGUUACAGCCCUCCGUGUAAUUUGCUUUUCUACAGUAGACAGACUAGGACAUACCGCGCAGGCUCAGUGUGGCGUCUGAGUUUGAACUCCAGUUACCCCUUUGCAAAGCGAGAGGCGACAAAAGGAGCCCACACAUUCCAAGGGCUGGGCAGUUCGCAUGUCCAUAUGAAUCACUAAAAUUCUUCUCACCAGAUGCUGAACACUGUGAUGUCAUUGGAUGGGAAUUACUUCACGUCAACAUGCGGAAAGACAGCCCUGCUGUGUUUGUGAGUGCUCCUCCUCAUUCUGUUGAAUGGUGGUGCCCUGGACAUCUGCGUCAAAGCCCUGACCUGACAGUACCACUGGCUCAACAUGCAUGACACUUCACAGCUGAAUGUUUGAUCUGACUUCAUAGAAAAACACUGGUGUAUGUCUGAGUGGUCAUUAAGUAACAGCACAAAAUUCCAUAGUAUGUGAUCUGUAAUGCCUGAUUCACACAUGCGAGCCGACCCUUGGGCCUGGCUCACAGCCGGUAACUGCAGCAUCAGGAUGAAGCAAAUUGAUUUGUUCCCCAUCAUUUUGCUAAUUGUUGACUAGCUGGCCCCUGAGAAUCUGAUUUUUGUAAUGUUGUCUUUCUGUAUCAGCAGGGAUAUUGCUGAGAGCUCCAUAACGCACAUUUGUACAUACUAAUUUCUAGGUAUCGAUUCUUCUGGGCAAACUAAAAUGCCAGGUGACUGGAUCUCUCCAGCAAUAUGUUUUGCAGUGUAUCCAGCAGCUUCUCAACCAAAGUAAAAACUCUCUUUUGUUAGGUUAAAAAAAGGGGGGAAGGAAAGGAGCAGUAGAUCCAAGGUCUGAAAUAAAAGACCUGGGACUCAGCACACAACCCACCCACCCCACACACACCUCAAAUGUUAUCAAAUGGGGUCCUGUGAAAGGUUUAAGUUAUUUUCUCCAUUUUGGUUUCCUUUCUUUUCCUUUCGAGAAGAGCUGAACCCUGAUUAGCAGAUGAACCAGUCAUUCGAUAAUGUUUAAUUAAUUCCAAGCCACUCCAAAGUGUGUCAUUAUGUGUUAAUGUUCUGAUGGUAAUUUUCAGAAAUACUAGUUUGCACAGCUGCUAUCAAGAGGAAUGACAUAUCAGAACAGAAACACUGUGGGGUUCUUUGCCUAUGUGGAAAACUGGUAUGACAUUGUAAUCAUUCCAGUGUUAACAGGUCACACUUGCUCCCCUUUUGCUUGAUCCCGGGACUUCUGUGGUUAGCAACCCUUGCUGCUCAUUUAAGUGAUGAUUCCCAGAGCAUUUUGAAAGAUCUUCCAGAAGACACAGUUCUGCUACAAAUGGAGGGCAAAAAGGGAAUGCCACAUCGUGUCCAUGUAACCAAUAUACACUAUCCCCUGGAGAAAGUAUGUCAAAACAUACUUGAAGCCAGUUAUU